UGUCUAAGUACGAGCCGUGUUCACACGGCGAGACCGCGUACGGCUCAUUAAAUCAGUCGUGGUCCAAAUGGGCCAGUGCUUAUCCUACUUGGAUAACUGUGGUAAUUCCAGAGCUAAUAUAUGCAACUCAUACCCCGAAGGCCGCGCUCUUGCAGUGUGCGCUGGACGGGUGCUUUUAUUAGACCAAACCGCUGAGGGUGUGUUAGCCUCCCGGGGCGCACGCUUGACUCGCAUGAUGGUGACUCUGGAUAACCUUUGACAAGCGCACGUACCACUCUUUUGAGCGGACGGCGCUGCCACUUUCGAGUGUCUGCCUUAUCAGCUAUCAACCGUUCGUUACGUGCGACCGAUGGCUUUGACGGGUAACGGGGAAUCAGGGUUCGAUUCCGGAGAGGCAGCCUGAGAGACGGCUACCACGUCCAAGGACGGCAGCAGGCGCGCAAAUUACCCAAUCCCAGCUUCUGGGGGAGGUAGUGACGAAAUCUAACGAUGCGGGCGCCCUUUCUAGGGCCCCGCAAUCGGAAUGAGCACUUUCUAAACAACCUGUUGAGAACCUACUGAAGGGCAAGUCUGGUGCCAGCAGCCGCGGUAAUUCCAGCUUCAGCAGCAUCUAUUAAAGUUGCUGCGGUUAAAAGGCUCGCAGUUGAAUGUCAGUGCCGGGCGCAGGUUAGGUGGACGCUGGGGUGUGAGAACCAACACGGCACGGGCUUCGUCUGGAUGCUUGUCAGCUUGCUGGCCUUCCAGGGGUGGCACCGACCGUGUCUCACAAACUCCCGUCCGUGACAAGCCUCCUCGCCCGCGUACAUAUGGGAAUUGGUUUCGGAGGCGUGCGAACGGCGGCUUCUCUCACGUGUGUGCUGGCUCACGCUGGCCAUACCUGGGGUUGUGUCAGCCACGUGCGUUCUCUUUGUGGUUUCAGAGUCACCUUGAGUAAAUCAGAGUGCUCAAAGCAGUCGUAGGGGCCUUGCGCCCUGUGAAAAGUCUUGACGGACUGACUGGUUAUGCAUGGCAUGUCGGAAGACGACGUCGCGUGCUGGCUCAGAGCUUGAUCAGUGGUAUAAGCCAGCCGCGACGUACUGAUUAAAAGGGACGGUCGAGG
rnacentral:rRNA from 1 species